UGCGUGUUCGAGAACUAUGUAGACAUGACCAAGACACUCUCUGGUCAAUACCCAAUAGCGGGACCUGGAUGCCCAUAUUGGAUGCUACAUAUUAUACGAAGACCUUAUCGAUUGAACCUCUAUGUCAAGGAUUCAGUUAAUCCCGUAUAUCAUGCCCUUUGUCCUUCGUUAUGUUACUUGCCCGAGAUUCGAUCGUCGGUAUCUCCAUACCUAUUUCAAUCUCGUUACCGGCAAGUCUCUUUACUCGUUCCAUAAUAC
rnacentral:lncRNA from 1 species